rnacentral:rRNA from 1 species
CGUGCUUGACACAUGCAAGUCGAACGGAAAGGCCCUGCUUUUGUGGGGUGCUCGAGUGGCGAACGGGUGAGUAACACGUGAGUAACCUGCCCUUGACUUUGGGAUAACUUCAGGAAACUGGGGCUAAUACCGGAUAGGAGCUCCUGCUGCAUGGUGGGGGUUGGAAAGUUUCGGCGGUUGGGGAUGGACUCGCGGCUUAUCAGCUUGUUGGUGGGGUAGUGGCUUACCAAGGCUUUGACGGGUAGCCGGCCUGAGAGGGUGACCGGCCACAUUGGGACUGAGAUACGGCCCAGACUCCUACGGGAGGCAGCAGUGGGGAAUAUUGCACAAUGGGCGGAAGCCUGAUGCAGCAACGCCGCGUGCGGGAUGACGGCCUUCGGGUUGUAAACCGCUUUCGCCUGUGACGAAGCGUGAGUGACGGUAAUGGGUAAAGAAGCACCGGCUAACUACGUGCCAGCAGCCGCGGUGAUACGUAGGGUGCGAGCGUUGUCCGGAUUUAUUGGGCGUAAAGGGCUCGUAGGUGGUUGAUCGCGUCGGAAGUGUAAUCUUGGGGCUUAACCCUGAGCGUGCUUUCGAUACGGGUUGACUUGAGGAAGGUAGGGGAGAAUGGAAUUCCUGGUGGAGCGGUGGAAUGCGCAGAUAUCAGGAGGAACCACCAGUGGCGAAGGCGGUUCUCUGGGCCUUUCCUGACGCUGAGGAGCGAAAGCGUGGGGAGCGAACAGGCUUAGAUACCCUGGUAGUCCACGCUGUAAACGGUGGGUACUAGGUGUGGGGUCCAUUCCACGGGUUCCGUGCCGUAGCUAACGCUUUAAGUACCCCGCCUGGGGAGUACGGCCGCAAGGCUAAAACUCAAAGGAAUUGACGGGGCCCCGCACAAGCGGCGGAGCAUGCGGAUUAAUUCGAUGCAACGCGUAGAACCUUACCUGGGUUUGACAUGGAUCGGGAGUGCUCAGAGAUGGGUGUGCCUCUUUUGGGGUCGGUUCACAGGUGGUGCAUGGCUGUCGUCAGCUCGUGUCGUGAGAUGUUGGGUUAAGUCCCGCAACGAGCGCAACCCUUGUUCACUGUUGCCAGCACGUUAUGGUGGGGACUCAGUGGAGACCGCCGGGGUCAACUCGGAGGAAGGUGGGGAUGACGUCAAGUCAUCAUGCCCCUUAUGUCCAGGGCUUCACGCAUGCUACAAUGGCUGGUACAGAGAGUGGCGAGCCUGUGAGGGUGAGCGAAUCUCGGAAAGCCGGUCUCAGUUCGGAUUGGGGUCUGCAACUCGACCUCAUGAAGUCGGAGUCGCUAGUAAUCGCAGAUCAGCAACGCUGCGGUGAAUACGUUCCCGGGGCUUGUACACACCGCCCGUCAAGUCAUGAAAGUUGGUAACACCCGAAGCCGGUGGCCUAACCGUUGUGGGGGAGCCGUCGAAGGUGGGACUGGUGAUUAGGACUAAAU